UAGGAUUCCCCCAGUAGCUGCGAGCGAACAGGGAAGAGCCCAGCACCGAAUCCCGCGGCCGACACCGGACGCAGGGAAAUGUGGUGUUAGGGAGGACCCGUUUAUCCCGAGGUCGUGCGGCGCGUCCAAGUCCUUCUUGAACGGGGCCACAGCCCAUAGAGGGUGCCAGGCCCGUAGCGACCGUCGCCGGCAGCGGGAGGGUCUCUCCUCAGAGUCGGGUUGCUUGAGAGUGCAGCCCUAAGCGGGUGGUAAACUCCAUCUAAGGCUAAAUAUGACCACGAGACCGAUAGCGAACAAGUACCGUGAGGGAAAGUUGAAAAGCACUUUGAAGAGAGAGUUCAAUAGUACGUGAAACCGUUCAGGGGUAAACCUGAGAAACCCGAAAGGUCGAAAGGGGAAAUUCAUUCGCGUCUCGGCGCUCGAGGAGUCGGGCGUUCGUGCGACGGUGCGCGCCGCCGCGGUCUUUACGGCCGUCGGUCGCGCGUCCGCGCCCUACGUCCCUCUGGCCUUCGUCGAACGCGUGCACUUUUCCCCUAGUAGGACGUCGCGAUCCGUCGGGCGUCGGUCUACGGCUGUCGGCGGUGGAGCUCGCGCGGGCGCCUUACGGCGUCUGCCGCGCGAACCCGUCCGAGUCCGGCCGACACGCUCGACGGUAUACACACUCAUGGCGCGGGGCCGCUACCAUUACGUUAGCGUCCGAACCGUGGCAAGCGCGUUCGUUGUCUAAGACGUCGAUCGGACCUCGUGCCGAUUCCGUCCGCGAACGACUGUUGGCCGCGUGUCUAUCUCGGACAGACCCCGGUGGAUAUUCGUAUCCACUUUACGCCGAUCAGCGACGCUAUAGCUUUGGGUACUUUCAGGACNNNNNNNNNNNNNNNNNNNNNNNNNNNNAGCAUGUGCGCGAGUCAUUGGGAAAUAUCUAAACCUAAAGGCGUAAUGAAAGUGAAGGUUCGUCUUAGCGCGGACCGAGGGAAGAUGGGCGGCGUCUGCCCGACGGGCGGUCGUCCCGCAUUCCCGGGGCGUCUCGUUCUCAUCGCGAGAAGAGGCGCACCAAGAGCGUACACGCUGGGACCCGAAAGAUGGUGAACUAUGCCUGGUCAGGACGAAGUCAGGGGAAACCCUGAUGGAGGUCCGUAGCGAUUCUGACGUGCAAAUCGAUCGUCGGAACUGGGUAUAGGGGCGAAAGACUAAUCGAACCAUCUAGUAGCUGGUUCCCUCCGAAGUUUCCCUCAGGAUAGCUGGCGCUCGUAGCGUACGAGUUUCAUCCGGUAAAGCGAAUGAUUAGAGGCAUUGGGGUCGAAACGACCUCAACCUAUUCUCAAACUUUAAAUGGGUGAGAUCUCCGGCUUGCUCGAAUUAAAUUUAAUUGAAGCCGCGAGUGAUCGAAUCAGAG
rnacentral:rRNA from 1 species